AUGUGCUGCUGUGUACUGGAGGCUAUUGGACCCGAUCUCCCAUUUUGGAAGCAGCUCGCCCUCCUUUGCUGUCAUUUUAGAUCAUCACAUUAUGAAGUGGAAAUUCUGCCUCCUGCUAACAUUGUUUUGCUACAAAUAGCCUCCUUCCUUUGGAGAUCUCUGAGAUUUGGCAGAGAAUGAAGGUGGAGGGGAGAUGCUGAAUCCAUGACACCACCGAAGACAACAGUUGGCCAUUGUUUAAAGAGACAGUGUCUUGCAUCGUGAAACUGAAGAUAUAGGUAAUGGUUCCUGAUCCUAGGCUGACGGCUUGCUUAAGGCAGCUCUAUGGUGUUGCUGGAGGUCCUGUUACGGUGUGGAUCCUGCUCUUCCUGAGAAGCCUGGUGCUAACUCCUGCACGUUUUUGGCAAAUGAGGCAGAAUACAUUCGUGGGGCACAUCAAUGGCAGCAGCCUGCAAAGGGCUCAGGGAGGGCCUAAUCACCUCUUCAGUAGUGGCACAGCUGCCACGUGGGGAAGGUAGGAGGCUUGAAGCCGAGGGAGAGCUGCUCUGUGGUUGGGACUGCAGGGAUGGGGCUGUCCUCUGCUGAAAGGGCUGGGUUAGGAAAAGCUACAUCCUAGGGCUUGUGGGGCUUUGUCUUGGGUUGCUGCUGCUGCAGUGACCUUUGGGGGAUAGCACCCAGGGGAG
ensembl:lncRNA